GACAGAGGUCCCGAGCGUUAGGCGGAAUCACUGGGCUUAAAGCGUGUGUAGGCGGAUGCCUAAGUACCUUGUGAAAUCCCACGGCUCAACCGUGGAACUGCUGGGUAUACUGGGCGUCUUGGGCCAUUCAGGGGCGACUGGAACAAGCGGUGGAGCGGUGAAAUGCGUAGAUAUCGCUUGGAACGCCGAAGGUGAAAACAGGUCGCUGGGGAUGUGCCGACGCUGAGACACGAAAGCCAGGGGAGCAAACGGG
rnacentral:rRNA from 1 species